CCCAGCAGCAGUGUUCUGGAAUCCUAUGUGAGGGACAAUCAUUCAGACCCUCGUAGCAGUGUUCCGGAAUUCUGUGUGAGGGA
rnacentral:pre_miRNA from 1 species